AACACACAACACGUGAACCAGACUUCGUUCGAUGCACCUACCUAUACGUGUACACUUAUAUACGUACGCCAUUGUGAACUAUGUGCACGUGUGUGAACGCUCAUUCCGCUAAUCUUGCGUAGGCACGCAUGUUGCUCGUGGUUGUCGGAAAUGCGACAUCGUCGACGUCGCUCGUCACGGAACAAGAAGGCCUUACGUGGCUGCGCCUGCAUAUACAUCGUCACAGUGUGUACAACAGUCGUUGCACCAACACGGCCAUACUAUUAUACAGAGUAUGUAUCACUUAAGCUUCAAUAUCAUAAAACACAGUCUUGGACUUUGCUCAGUACGAUCAAACUUAUUUUGGUAUAAUAACGGAAGAAUGAGAAAAUAUCGUACAUCUUAAGGCCAGUGAGAGAAGAUUUCAGAAACGAGAAAAUAAUUUGGAUAAUUCUAUGGUAGAGUUAUCUUGAUCAACGAGGAACUAUCAGCUGAGAGUAUUAACAUUGAACAAACUUCUUUCCUUUUGAUGAGCAGAAGUUAUAUCCUUGUAGGAAACUAUAGCCAUCGAGCUGUCAAUGUAAAUGUCAGAUAUAUUUCUCACACCACUGAUAGCCUGCAGGUAAAUAAUCUACUUUCAAGUAUAGAUCAGAGAUGAUUAAAAAGUUGUUGAUAAUAGAAUUUACGUUAAAUCUGCAUUGCGUUACGAGGCAAAUUACUCAGCUUGAAUAAAUUAUUCUUAUAAAUUAGACGACUAUUCUAUACUUACUUAAAUUGAAAUGCAAAUGGUUCUAGAUAGAAAAAGAGAAUGAAUGAUCGAAGAUAUAUUCCUUUUCUCUAACAUUGUGUCAAACGUUUAAUAAGGAGACGAUAAAACAACUUAACGAAAGGAACAAAAAGGAAACUUAACGUUAACGAGUUAACAAGUUACGGAAAAUGUUCGCUUUCUCAUUGAAAUUUUCGCUUGUCGCGUUAAUUUAUAUUCGAAGACUGCGAUGAUACUCUGAAAGAUUGGUGAUACAAUUUAUUGUCACGUUACAUAGUAACAAUGUCUGAUAUUGGCGGAUAUUAGAUUUGUAACGCGAUAGUUUGGAAAAUACGUCGGUGGUGAACAUAAAUUCAUUUAUUCCCGCGAAGCAUGGGUGUCUGAAAAUGUUUUUUCGUGACGUUUGACAGUUUGUUUUAUGGAGACAGGUAACAAAAAAAUGUUUCGUAAUUAUGCAGCUGAAAAAUGCUCUAUCACGGAAUCAUGGCGGUGGCAGGAGCCGUAAGACAGAAAGCCGUUCAAUUUUUUCGUCGUUUCUCAUUUCUGUAUGACACGAUACGCGUUCAUGUUCGAAAGAAAUAUUCGAUUCGCAUGGAAAGUUCGUAAUUAAUACAUUAUUUUUCAUCCGAGGAAAAUAAGUACUUGGCGAAAUUUACUUCUCUGCGUAAAUUUUACUUUCCACUGGGAUGUUUUGUGUUUUAAUCAAGUCUCGUCGUUGACAAAUAUUUCUCUAAUCGAAUUAAAAUUUUCAUAAAGAUACAUGUUUAAGUAACCAUUCGUUGUUGACAGAUGUCACACUGCUUGUCACAGUUGUCAUAUCAGCCAACUAACGAUAUUAUCGCUAAGGUAGAAAUAGAUACGUAAGACGAUGAAAGCAUACGAGAAUAAUCAUACACUUGGUGUUAAUCGCCGAUUUAUUUGCAAGUUUAAAGGUUAAUCGUGUAAAAAAUGACUGCAAAUAAAUAGAUGUCCGAAAGAUACGAUUAUCGAGCAAACGUAAAAUAACUCGAUGAUACGAAGGACGUGGGCUGGAUCGAAAACAGGAUGACUUGAGAAUUCGAAGAAGAUGACAGAUCUCUGUGCAAUAUGUGUGCAUGCGUGUACGUGUGUUGUAAUAAUUCGUAACAUUUUAAAUCCACCGAAAUAAAACAUUGAUAAAAAAUAUCCAAGAUUCUUCGUAAAAAUAAAAUCGACGAAUCUAUGAACAAACAAAGAAUACACGCGAAGACAAUGCCUUUAUUUCUGACACGGCUUGGAUGAUAAUCGCUAAAAAAAAUUACUUCAAACACAAUACAACAGUUAGGCAACCUAUUCGGUAAAAACGUCACAGACUUCUACAGACAGCUAUUAUACAAUGGCAGAAAUCAACCUAUCAUCAAAAUUAACGAUAGCAUCGACAAGUUGCAUACUUCUGCCUGGCAUAAUACAUCUGAGUUUAUCACGAGCGCGAAGAUUCCAUCCUCGGCAAAAACUCUGGACAGGAUCCAGUGAAAAGCGAAUGAUUCAGCUGCCAAAAGAACACGAGCCUUUAAGCAGAUCGGUUUGCCCCGUGUUCUUCUUUAUCUACGCCGCCAGAUACCUCGUGUCACUUUUUUUUUCCAAAGAAACACGAAGCCAUCCUAUUGUCAAAGCAACCCUCGCCUCGUAUCAAUGCCGGAACUUCUCUUACACAUCCUUCACCCGCGUUCGUUUUAAUUCGUCCUGUCGAAUCGUUCAGAUACGCGAAUCGUCCCUAAUUGUUUUCGACCAAUACGCACACAUAAAUGCACGUAUAUACACGUACGAGGUAUAUACGUUCGAAGAGAGAAUAUUUAUCGGGAAGCAGCGGAGCAGCGGGUGGCGCGCAACCGUGCGUGUUUCCGAUCAAUUAACAAUCUGUCGGCAAACCCGGGCUGGUUCGAGCCGCCGGUAAUCCGGCAGAAAAUCUGAGCCUGCGAACAAUGAAGUCUCAGCUCGGACUAUGAAAAUAACGGGCGUGUUUCGUCGGGGCUUAAUUCAUCAACGAUAUUCCCGCUGCUUCGGUUCGAGUCCUACGGAGCGACGACGAAACGUGUACGUUGUACAGGACGUUUCAGCUGGAACAGGAUGAUUUUUGGCAUAUAAUAAGAUACGAUUACGUUUUAAGUUGAACUUAUUUUAGGCGAAUUAGGUAGAUGUUUGUGGAAUAUAUCGAGACGUGCCACGUCGAAUUACUGCAAAUUUAGAACGGUUUUGCAUAUUUAAUUGAAAGUAUAUGACAUACUGACGUGUUUCUAGCGUGACCGUUCGUCUAUUGUCUUCGCGUACAUAUAAUUAUUAUUUUAUUAUCGCGUCGUAUUGUGUGUCGUAUCGUAUAAUAAGCAGGAUCAAGCAGGUAUUGUUCCAUUUGUAUCUGCAUAGAAAAUCUGUUCGAAAUACCAAUAGAAAAAACAAACGUUGGCUGGGGCAUUUAGUGAAUCGGUCUGGCGUAUUUUGAAAACUGGGAAAAUUGAAGUCUCCUCAACCUCUCUCUAGCAACGGAGCAAUGGCACGCGAAGAAAAGAAACGCCGCUGAAUUACUCUCAAUGGCGGUGUUUAAUGGGUGAAACGAUUAAUUUCCGCGCGCGAAAACGAUUCGCUUAUUGAAUUUGCCCGACUGACUUUGCGUUUAAUGGACUCGGAUUGAGCAUGGAAGAAAACCCGAGAGCGUAGGAUAAUUCUUCAGAAAUACCCGGCCGAAUCGACAAUUAGCGGCCGAUAUUUUCCACCUUUUUACUGAUCGCGUCGCUUCCAGCCGAGUUGCCUACGAAAAUUCGCGCCGGAAUGCGUCGCGAUCACGAGAAAUCUCGAGAAUCCAAUUGAAUGUAACGAUCAUGCUACAAAUACACGAUUCUCUUUUUAAAAUUAACAAGUUUAGUUUUACACAACGCAUGAAUUAAUGUCACCCGAGUUUAAGUGUUACAGGGAAUCGUUGAUAUCUUUCUUUUAGAAGAAGCAGAUACAUUUCAAACAUUUAUGGACGAGCUGUUGCAAUAAAAUAAUUCUGGAAAGAUGGACUUUACUUUUAAAAACACCUCAAAAAAUCUUUGCGUGUUAAUUGUAUUAAAAUUGUGUAUUAAAAUGUCGAAGCAACGCGUUACUGUAACAAUAAAAGACACCCUUUCGCUCCAUCCGUUCCUUGCACAACGAGUACAUUAAACCCCGUUUCAGUGACCUUAAAUGUUUGUCUCUCGUACUCGAAAUACAAUGCGUUCGUUCGGGUUAGCAUAAUAAUAUCUUUCUUUUAUUUAAAAAAGGCGUAUUACCUCUUUGCAGUUUCAAAUUGAAAACUAAAUCAACAUUAUUCUUUGCGCCGUUAUAUUUUCACGGUAAUCACAUCAUUUGAAAGAAUAGGUCACGCAACUUUCGACUACGAAACUACCAGUUCUAUAACAAAGUAGCUGAUCGUAAUAGUAGAGUUGAAAAUCAAUUCGAAAAUGAAGUUACACAGAAAUUACAGGACGCUUGUUGCAGACGUACACUUAGCCAAACAUUGUUACACAGCGUAAGUAUUAAUUUUAAUCGUAGAAUUAUCACUAACGAUAGUCUCGCUAAAUAUAGUGGCUCGUUAAUUUAGCGAAUAACCGACUGUUCCGAUACUUUGCGAACUAUACACGUAAAAUGUGUCUAGGAAUGUUUUAUCAAUCAUUGUAAACACACGUGUAAUUGACGUAAGUUUUUCAAGAAAGAAAUCCUCGUAUAGCCGCGUGUUGCCGUAUAAAACUACGUACGUACGCUGCUCAAAGACCAAAGGAUCG